GUGGGGAAUUUUGGACAAUGGGCGCAAGCCUGAUCCAGCAAUGCCGCGUGCAGGAAGAAGGCCUUCGGGUUGUAAACUGCUUUUGUACGGAACGAAAAGGCUCUGGUUAAUACCUGGGGCUCAUGACGGUACCGUAAGAAUAAGCACCGGCUAACUACGUGCCAGCAGCCGCGGUAAUACGUAGGGUGCAAGCGUUAAUCGGAAUUACUGGGCGUAAAGCGUGCGCAGGCGGUUUUGUAAGACAGGCGUGAAAUCCCCGGGCUCAACCUGGGAAUGGCGCUUGUGACUGCAAGGCUGGAGUGCGGCAGAGGGGGAUGGAAUUCCGCGUGUAGCAGUGAAAUGCGUAGAUAUGCGGAGGAACACCGAUGGCGAAGGCAAUCCCCUGGGCCUGCACUGACGCUCAUGCACGAAAGCGUGGGGAGCAAACAGGAUUAGAAACCCGGGUAGUCC
rnacentral:rRNA from 1 species